GAGAAACUUUCUAUUAGAUCACCAGUCAAUAGGAUACCAGCAUCUGCUGAUCCUGACUGAAAGACAUGAGUAAUAACAGACAACUUUAGAAAAUACAUUUUUCUUCCAUAGUUAGCAAUGCAUGACUCACUAGAACUCUCCAGACACUAUACUGCAUGAAUGACUCAAAAUUCUACCAAGGACAGAGCACAAUCAGUUCUCUCUUCCUGUGCCAGGAUUUCUCGUUCCAAUUAUACUGAUUCGUUAGCUUACUUCAAAGACAG
rnacentral:lncRNA from 1 species